CUGUCUGAGGGACAGAGAGGACGUGAGGGGUCCGUCUGAAUGUGUGUGUGUCCGUGUGUGUCUGUGUGUGUGGACCUACCUGUGUAUGUACGGUAUGAGCAGAGAGAAGAGCAGGAAGUUGGCGGCUCCCUGGUCCUCACUGGUGUGGAAGAACAGUUCCAGCACUGACGGAUCUUUGACCAGAGCCACGCAAAGCUGGUUCAGCAGGAGGACCAGCUCGGCCUCCACCACUCCACCGCUGCCUGGAAGGGUGGGGGUGGACAGGUCUGUUUACUCGCCAGCAGCUCACCCGUCCCGGCUCCAGCGCAGGAGGCCAGCAGCAUCAUGAGUGGGCGUAGAACUGGUUUGUGGUGCAGCAGAGGCUGCCUGGCCUGAGACAGAAGCAUCUGGUACAUCCUGAGCUGCUCCAGCUUCAUGUCCUCUGUGAACUGUCUCCUCAGGCUCCACAGAAACAGCCUCUCCAUCACGCCCUCCAGGACCACGAACUCCAGGAUGGGACCCAUCGCUCCCCCUGGGAAACGGAGCGCAACACACGUGAAGCCAAACACAACACAGCGGCGUGAUGACGCAUGUGGUUUUGUUUUGUCUCCUCACCCUGCCCCGCCUCCUCCUCCAUCAGCAGGAAGAGCAUAUGCUCCACGUAGUUCUGGACGGCGCUGGCCUCGUCGGCCGGGAUGGGACCCAGACGUAAUGUUCCAGAGCUGCCGCCAGCGUGGCCGGAGAGGAAACUCAGCGCGCUGAUGCCGCUCCGCCCCGGCUCGUGUUUCUCCAGGAUCCUCACUACCUGCAGACACACGCACAUCGGGGACGUCUUCACCGUCAGGAGCCCAGGCAGGAACAGGAAGUCAGGGUCGUCAGCGGCAACGAGCAGACAGGAAAAACAUGGGACAUGUCUGCGUCCCACCCAGGGCGUUCCGGGACAUUCCAUGAAUUCCCACCAGAGAUCUCCAGGAAUCCUUCAACAGGAUACCCACCUCUGCUGCUGCUGCUGUGACGACAUGGACGAGCGAGCCUGCUGCCUGAGAGAGAGAGAGAGAGA